rnacentral:rRNA from 1 species
UUAAGCGACUAAGCGUACACGGUGGAUGCCCUGGCAGUCAGAGGCGAUGAAGGACGUGCUAAUCUGCGAUAAGCGUCGGUAAGGUGAUAUGAACCGUUAUAACCGGCGAUUUCCGAAUGGGGAAACCCAGUGUGUUCCGACACACUAUCAUUAACUGAAUCCAUAGGUUAAUGAGGCGAACCGGGGGAACUGAAACAUCUAAGUACCCCGAGGAAAAGAAAUCAACCGAGAUUCCCCCAGUAGCGGCGAGCGAACAGGGAGCAGCCCAGAGCCUGAAUCAGUGUGUGUGUUAGUGGAAGCGUCUGGAAAGGCGCGCGAUACAGGGUGACAGCCCCGUACACAAAAAUGCACAUGCUGUGAGCUCGAUGAGUAGGGCGGGACACGUGGUAUCCUGUCUGAAUAUGGGGGGACCAUCCUCCAAGGCUAAAUACUCCUGACUGACCGAUAGUGAACCAGUACCGCGAGGGAAAGGCGAAAAGAACCCCGGCGAGGGGAGUGAAAAAGAACCUGAAACCGUGUACGUACAAGCAGUGGGAGCACGCUUAGGCGUGUGACUGCGUACCUUUUGUAUAAUGGGUCAGCGACUUAUAUUCUGUAGCAAGGUUAACCGAAUAGGGGAGCCGAAGGGAAACCGAGUCUUAACUGGGCGUUAAGUUGCAGGGUAUAGACCCGAAACCCGGUGAUCUAGCCAUGGGCAGGUUGAAGGUUGGGUAACACUAACUGGAGGACCGAACCGACUAAUGUUGAAAAAUUAGCGGAUGACUUGUGGCUGGGGGUGAAAGGCCAAUCAAACCGGGAGAUAGCUGGUUCUCCCCGAAAGCUAUUUAGGUAGCGCCUCGUGAAUUCAUCUCCGGGGGUAGAGCACUGUUUCGGCAAGGGGGUCAUCCCGACUUACCAACCCGAUGCAAACUGCGAAUACCGGAGAAUGUUAUCACGGGAGACACACGGCGGGUGCUAACGUCCGUCGUGAAGAGGGAAACAACCCAGACCGCCAGCUAAGGUCCCAAAGUCAUGGUUAAGUGGGAAACGAUGUGGGAAGGCCCAGACAGCCAGGAUGUUGGCUUAGAAGCAGCCAUCAUUUAAAGAAAGCGUAAUAGCUCACUGGUCGAGUCGGCCUGCGCGGAAGAUGUAACGGGGCUAAACCAUGCACCGAAGCUGCGGCAGCGACACUAUGUGUUGUUGGGUAGGGGAGCGUUCUGUAAGCCUGUGAAGGUGUACUGUGAGGUAUGCUGGAGGUAUCAGAAGUGCGAAUGCUGACAUAAGUAACGAUAAAGCGGGUGAAAAGCCCGCUCGCCGGAAGACCAAGGGUUCCUGUCCAACGUUAAUCGGGGCAGGGUGAGUCGACCCCUAAGGCGAGGCCGAAAGGCGUAGUCGAUGGGAAACAGGUUAAUAUUCCUGUACUUGGUGUUACUGCGAAGGGGGGACGGAGAAGGCUAUGUUGGCCGGGCGACGGUUGUCCCGGUUUAAGCGUGUAGGCUGGUUUUCCAGGCAAAUCCGGAAAAUCAAGGCUGAGGCGUGAUGACGAGGCACUACGGUGCUGAAGCAACAAAUGCCCUGCUUCCAGGAAAAGCCUCUAAGCAUCAGGUAACAUCAAAUCGUACCCCAAACCGACACAGGUGGUCAGGUAGAGAAUACCAAGGCGCUUGAGAGAACUCGGGUGAAGGAACUAGGCAAAAUGGUGCCGUAACUUCGGGAGAAGGCACGCUGAUAUGUAGGUGAGGUCCCUCGCGGAUGGAGCUGAAAUCAGUCGAAGAUACCAGCUGGCUGCAACUGUUUAUUAAAAACACAGCACUGUGCAAACACGAAAGUGGACGUAUACGGUGUGACGCCUGCCCGGUGCCGGAAGGUUAAUUGAUGGGGUUAGCGCAAGCGAAGCUCUUGAUCGAAGCCCCGGUAAACGGCGGCCGUAACUAUAACGGUCCUAAGGUAGCGAAAUUCCUUGUCGGGUAAGUUCCGACCUGCACGAAUGGCGUAAUGAUGGCCAGGCUGUCUCCACCCGAGACUCAGUGAAAUUGAACUCGCUGUGAAGAUGCAGUGUACCCGCGGCAAGACGGAAAGACCCCGUGAACCUUUACUAUAGCUUGACACUGAACAUUGAGCCUUGAUGUGUAGGAUAGGUGGGAGGCUUAGAAGUGUGGACGCCAGUCUGCAUGGAGCCGACCUUGAAAUACCACCCUUUAAUGUUUGAUGUUCUAACGUUGACCCGUAAUCCGGGUUGCGGACAGUGUCUGGUGGGUAGUUUGACUGGGGCGGUCUCCUCCUAAAGAGUAACGGAGGAGCACGAAGGUUGGCUAAUCCUGGUCGGACAUCAGGAGGUUAGUGCAAUGGCAUAAGCCAGCUUGACUGCGAGCGUGACGGCGCGAGCAGGUGCGAAAGCAGGUCAUAGUGAUCCGGUGGUUCUGAAUGGAAGGGCCAUCGCUCAACGGAUAAAAGGUACUCCGGGGAUAACAGGCUGAUACCGCCCAAGAGUUCAUAUCGACGGCGGUGUUUGGCACCUCGAUGUCGGCUCAUCACAUCCUGGGGCUGAAGUAGGUCCCAAGGGUAUGGCUGUUCGCCAUUUAAAGUGGUACGCGAGCUGGGUUUAGAACGUCGUGAGACAGUUCGGUCCCUAUCUGCCGUGGGCGCUGGAGAACUGAGGGGGGCUGCUCCUAGUACGAGAGGACCGGAGUGGACGCAUCACUGGUGUUCGGGUUGUCAUGCCAAUGGCACUGCCCGGUAGCUAAAUGCGGAAGAGAUAAGUGCUGAAAGCAUCUAAGCACGAAACUUGCCCCGAGAUGAGUUCUCCCUGACUCCUUGAGAGUCCUGAAGGAACGUUGAAGACGACGACGUUGAUAGGCCGGGUGUGUAAGCGCAGCGAUGCGUUGAGCUAACCGGUACUAAUGAACCGUGAGGCUUAACCUU